GUUUUUUUAGAAAUAAAUUUAAUUUCUAAAUUUUUAAGUUUAUUUUUUUUUAAAAAAAAAUAAAAUUUAUUAAUUUGAAUAUUUAAAGGGAUAAGCUUUUAAAUAAAUAAUUAUAAAUAAAUAAAUUUUUAUUUAAAAAUUAUAUAUAUAGAAUUAGUAAUUAAUAUUAAGUUUGUUAUAAAUUAUUUUAUAUUUUUAUUAUUUAUUUAAUUUUAAUUAUUUAUAAAAAUUUUUUUUUUAAUAAAAUUUUAAUAAUAAUAAUGAUAAAAUUAGUAUAUAUAUUAUUGUUUAAAUUAUUUUAUUUGAUAAGUUUUUAUAAAGAACUCGGCAAAUAUUUAUACUCGCCUGUUUAACAAAAACAUGUCUUUUUGAGUUAUUUUAAAAGUCUAACCUGCCCAAUGAAUUUUUAAUGGCCGCAGUAUUUUGACUGUGCAAAGGUAGCUAAUC
rnacentral:rRNA from 1 species